UACGAAGGGGGCUAGCGUUGCUCGGAAUCACUGGGCGUAAAGGGUGCGUAGUCGGGUCUUUAAGUCAGGGGUGAAAUCCUGGAGCUCAACUCCAGAACUGCCUUUGAUACUGAAGAUCUUGAGUCCGGGAGAGGUGAGUGGAACUGCGAGUGUAGAGGUGAAAUUCGUAGAUAUUCGCAAGAACACCAGUGGCGAAGGCGGCUCACUGGCCCGGUACUGACGCUGAGGCACGAAAGCGUGGGGAGCAAACAGG
rnacentral:rRNA from 1 species